CAGAGCGCAACGGUAGGGAAAGAAGGUGGCGAGCGUAGCCACCGAUAGAAUAAGUGGGAAGAAGAGGGGGGGGGGCGGUCUAGCCUGACACAAUCCCUUUGAGCAGGGAGAGGAGAGCGCUGGGAGAGGCUGUCCCGUUUUACCAGAAAGCCUCAGCCCAGUACCCUGCCCCAAAGUGAGCACAGCUCCCCUGACAGGGGAGGUUAGACCCACUCAGGUCCCCCUGGCACCCAAUACCCUAAUACCAGCAAAUAAAACAAUAGAAGAACAACCAGGUACAAUUAAAGCAAAACAUACAUCAAUAACACCUUAAAGAAACCUGACAGGAAUCUUAAAGAAAUCAGUACUCUGACCUGACUUGUGAUGGAGCAGCAAAGAAAGAGGAAAUGGUUGGCUACGCUGGGACUUAUAUAUCCUCUG